GAUGAACGCUGGCGGCGUGCCUAAUACAUGCAAGUCGAGCGGACAGAUGAGGCGUUUGCGCGUCUGACGUUAGCGGCGGGGGGGUGAGUCACACGAGGAUACCCUCCCUAUAAGACUGGGAUCACUUCGGGAAACCGGAUAUCACACCGGAUAAUAUAUUGAACCGCGUGGUUCGUUGGAGAAAGACGGUUUUGCUGUAUCUACUCGCUGGAUACCGGCCGGAUUAGCUAGUUGGUAGGGAAACGGCUUACCAAGGCUAGGAUGCGUAGCCGAGCUGACAGGCGGAUCGGCCACACUGGAACGGAGACACGGUCCAGACUCCUACGGGAGGCAGCAGUAGGGAAUCUUCCGCAGUGGGCGAAAGCCUGACGGAGCAACGCCGCGUGUGUGAUGAAGGUCUUCGGAUCGUAAAACUCUGUUACUAGGGAAGAACAAAUGUGUAAGUAACUAUGCCCGUCUUGACGGUACCUAAUCAGAAAGCCACGGCUAACUACGUG
rnacentral:rRNA from 1 species